rnacentral:rRNA from 1 species
UCCGGUUGAUCCUGCCGGACCCGACUGCUAUUUGGGUGAGAAUAAGCCAUGCGAGUCGAAUGGGAUACCUAAAUCUCCCAUGGCAAACUGCUCAGUAACACAUGAUCAACUUACCCUACAGAGAAAAAUAACCUCGGGAAACUGAGGAUAAUGUUUCAUAGUUGAAUAGGCUUGGAAAAGUUUUUCAAUAAAAGGGAUAAGGAAAAUGGUCCUUAUCCGCUAUAGGAUAGGAUCGUGUUCGAUUAUGGUUGUUGGUGAGGUAACGGCUCACCAAGCCGAUAAUCGAUAGGGGCCGUGAGAGCGGGAGCCCCGAGAUGGGUACUGAGACAACGACCCAGGCCUUACGAGGCGCAGCAGGCGCGGAACCUCCGCAAUACACGAAAGUGUGACGGGGUUACCCAAAGUGCUCUUUCUAGAGCUGUGGUAGGUGAGUAAUGUUCCCUACUAGAAAGGAGAGGGCAAGGCUGGUGCCAGCCGCCGCGGUAAAACCAGCUCUUCAAGUGGUCGGGAUAAUUAUUGGGCUUAAAGUGUCCGUAGCCGGUUUAGAAAGUUCCUGGUAAAAUCGGGUAGCUUAACUAUCCGUAUGCUAGGAAUACUGCUAUACUAGAGGGCGGGAGAGGUCUGAGGUACUACAGGGGUAGGGGUGAAAUCUUAUAAUCCUUGUAGGACCACCAGUGGCGAAGGCGUCAGACUGGAACGCGCCUGACGGUGAGGGACGAAAGCCAGGGGAGCGAACCGGAUUAGAUACCCGGGUAGUCCUGGCCGUAAACGAUGCAUACUAGGUGAUGGUACGGCCAUGAGCCGUGUCAGUGCCGUAGGGAAACCGUUAAGUGUGCCGCCUGGGAAGUACGGUCGCAAGGCUAAAACUUAAAGGAAUUGGCGGGGGAGCACCACAAGGGGUGAAGCCUGCGGUUCAAUUGGAUUCAACGCCGGG